GUCCUUGCCGUAAACUAUGUAUACUUGGUGUAACUGGAAUCAACCCUAGUUGUGCCGUAGCAAACGCGUUAAGUAUACCGCCUGGGGAGUACAGUCGCAAGGCUGAAACUCAAAAGAAUUGACGGGGACCCCGCACAAGCAGUGGAGCAUGUGGUUUAAUUCGAUGCAACGCGAAGAACCUUACCCAGACUUGACAUACACAGGACAGUCGCAGAAAUGCGAUCUCUCUUCGGAGCCUGUGAACAGGUGCUGCAUGGCUGUCGU
rnacentral:rRNA from 1 species